UACGUAGGGGGCAAGCGUUGUCCGGAUUUAUUGGGCGUAAAGAGCGUGUAGGCGGCCGCACAGGUCCGUUGUGAAAACUGGAGGCUUAACCUUCAGACGUCGAUGGAAACCGUGCGGCUAGAGUCCGGAAGAGGAGAAUGGAAUUCCUGGUGUAGCGCUGAAAUGCGCAGAUAUCAGGAAGAACACCCGUGGCUAAGGCGGUUCUCUAGUACGGUACUGACGCUGAGACGCGAAAGCGUGGGGAGCGAACAGG
rnacentral:rRNA from 1 species